rnacentral:rRNA from 1 species
CCCCUACCCUGUGUUGCCAUCAUUAAGUUGGGGACUCACGGGGGACUGCCGGUGACAAACCGGAGGAAGGUGGGGACGAUGUCAAGUCAUCAUGGCUCUUACGUCCAGGGCUAGAAACGUGCUACAAUGGCUGAUACAAAGGGUUGCAAGACCGCGAGGUGGAGCGAAUCCCAUCAAAGUCAGUCUAAGUUCGGAUCGCAGUCUGAAACCCGACUGCGUGAAGGCGGAGUUGCUAGUAAUCGCGGAUCAGCAUGCCGCGGUGAAUACGUUCCCGGGCCUUGUACACACCGCCCGU